rnacentral:rRNA from 1 species
AGCGAACGCUGGCGGCAGGCUUAACACAUGCAAGUCGAGCGGGCACUUCGGUGUCAGCGGCAGACGGGUGAGUAACACGUGGGAACGUACGCUUUGGUUCGGAAUAACGCUGGGAAACUAGCGCUAAUACCGGAUACGCCCGUUUGGGGAAAGGCUUGCUGCCGAAGGAUCGGCCCGCGUCUGAUUAGCUAGUUGGUGGGGUAAUGGCCUACCAAGGCGACGAUCAGUAGCUGGUCUGAGAGGAUGACCAGCCACACUGGGACUGAGACACGGCCCAGACUCCUACGGGAGGCAGCAGUGGGGAAUAUUGGACAAUGGGCGCAAGCCUGAUCCAGCCAUGCCGCGUGAGUGAUGAAGGCCUUAGGUUUGUAAAGCUCUAUUGGCCGGGACGAUAAUGACGGUACCGGAAUAAGAAGCCCCGGCUAACUUCGUG